GAAUUUCCAAUCUGAAGAGAUAUGCCAGGAGCUUACAAAGCAUUUUUUAUUGAUGUGAAUGACAAAUAAUAAUGUGGGGUUAAUCUCCCCAAAACGACUAUUUCCCUAAUCUUCCUAGUUCAGUCACAAUAACCUGCUAUUUGAAAUCCCCCUCUGAUUCACUCCCCUGUGCCAUCCAGAUCAGCAGAGUUCUGCAGUAAUAUAAAAGGCUUUGGCCUAUCUGGAUAAGAGAGACCAGGAUGCAUUGACUGCAGUAAGAGUCUAAACACAGCUGUAUUUUAAAGUCUCCUUUCUUUAAAAAAUCUUGAAUGUUGCAAGAGAGGAACAGAGAGAGAGAGACAUUGGAAUGACACGCUAAUGAAGCGAGCCAGCGAGCCUGAACCGAGACUGUCCAACAUCGUUAUGGGAUAUCUUAGAUGAAGAGUAAUUAUACCAGGAACACUGAAAUGUCAUUAAAAAUCUUCAGCCAGGACCGAACAGAAAGUUCCUCUUCAGAAGUUCCAGCUGAAAAAAAGCCAGACCCUUAAAUAUGGAGGGAUUUAAAGGCGUAGAUAGAAUCGAGGGUCCUAAUUUAAUUUGGUGCAUCAGAACUCAAUGGAGAUGGUAUGUAAUUGAAAUCCUUCUUUAAUAAAUUCAGAUGAAUUGGCAAUUAGGUCUUGAUCAUAUUCCCGCCCAAUGGAUUGCAAUUGAUAGUGGAGGUCCUUGAGCCAUCUCACUACAGCCACUUACGCAUGAUCAUGCUCAAACUUGUAUAUAUUCUAAUAAGAAAGCAUGUGCAGUAAAAUACUCUCUAAUCAGAUGUUGUUUUUGCAAAGGUAUAGUUAAUGUCAUACUUUUUCAUACUGUCAUACUGUCUCAAUGUGUUGCUUUUGUAUUGAUCACCAGCUGUAAAACAAUUACUAAGCAAUAUCAUGUUACCACA
rnacentral:lncRNA from 1 species